ACUAAGAUGGCAGAGUAAGUGCAAUAGUUUUAAGAAUUAUAUAUGGAUAGUUAUUCUCUUGGUA
rnacentral:tRNA from 1 species